CCUACGGGAGGCAGCAGUGGGGAAUUUUGGACAAUGGGGGAAACCCUGAUCCAGCAAUGCCGCGUGUGUGAAGAAGGCCUUCGGGUUGUAAAGCACUUUUGUCAGGAACGAAACGGUGGGGGCUAAUACCUCCUGCUAAUGACGGUACCUGAAGAAUAAGCACCGGCUAACUACGUGCCAGCAGCCGCGGUAAUACGUAGGGUGCGAGCGUUAAUCGGAAUUACUGGGCGUAAAGCGUGCGCAGGCGGUUGUGCAAGACAGAUGUGAAAUCCCCGGGCUCAACCUGGGAAUGGCAUUUGUGACUGCACGGCUAGAGUGUGUCAGAGGGGGGUAGAAUUCCACGUGUAGCAGUGAAAUGCGUAGAUAUGUGGAGGAAUACCGAUGGCGAAGGCAGCCCCCUGGGAUAACACUGACGCUCAUGCACGAAAGCGUGGGGAGCAAACAGGAUUAGAUACCCUGGUAGUCCACGCCCUAAACGAUGUCAACUAGUUGUCGGGUCUUAAUUGACUUGGUAACGCAGCUAACGCGUGAAGUUGACCGCCUGGGGAGUACGGUCGCAAGAUUAAAACUCAAAGGAAUUGACGG
rnacentral:rRNA from 1 species